UGUGUGAAAAUUUAAUGAUUUUUCGGUGGAAGAUGGUCGUCUCAGAAAAUUCAAGAGAAGAUUUAUGUUAACGGUCUAUGAAUGUAGAUUGCGAUUGAAAGGCACUACGUUUAGCACUGUAUUCAAGAGAUCGUUUGAUCUCAAUAUACCAACAGAAGGAAUCCCAAGGGGAAGGUUACAUCAAUCACUUAAUUACUCGGGCGUGGACCUCCAUUAAAGGUAUUAGCUAAUCAAAGGAAAGGUGGACAACCUCCUGAAGAGAGCGAUGUGCAUAGACAAGGUGAGUAGGGAUGCAGCUCCGUGGACCGCUCGUCGGGCCUGAUAGGUGGUGAUAUCACACCCUUCUCAAAGGAACCGUAUUGGAUUUUAAAAUCCCUCCGCAUCCAAUCCAUUAGUGAACGGUCCGGGCACCCACCUGUAAAAAUGUGGAUGGCCUAGACUAAAUCCGCGAAUUGCGGGCCAAAUGCUCACACCUAUCAUGAAAGCCUAACAUCAAUAUUAAAUUAGGCCCAGGCCCUUUUAAAAUAUCCAAUCCAUCUGCAAAUAGUCCCUGAACUGAUGAAUUUAGUGCAUCAGAGCGAAAGAGAUGAGCACCUUUCAGAAAUUUAAGUCAAACGAUACAAUUGGAGAAAUCUGAGAAUAACCCAUCAAAAUUAAGAGAACUGGCAACCAACGUUAAUGACAAAGAAGCAAACUUGGUGAAUCUUUGGAAAGAGAAGCUGCUGGUGUAUCCAUCGCAGGGGUGUGUGUGUGUGUGUAAAGCGUCCUUGCAUCCGUCUCCCUGAAAAAUGGGAGGGCUUUUGCUCCUUUGGAAGAAAAUACUUGCAAUGAACCUCCCUCCACUCCAUUCUAAUAGACAGAGGCAGCUACAAAUAGACAUCUCCCUCAUUCAAUAUUUCAUUUCUUAAUCAAAUAGAAAUUUCUCCUUCCUCACUUUUCUUCUUCUCCACCAGAAAUCUCUAGUCUAGUGCACAAUAGAUAUACAGAUACAGAAUAUUCAGGUCUAAUUAGACUCGGGUUCUUGGUUUCUUGCACACUUUUGAGUUCUUAUCAGAGGAAACGACAUUGUAAUUCAUUUCUUGCACACUUUCUGAAAGAAUUACAGAUAAAGAUUAUAGAGAAUGUAGUGAUCAUUUCGCUGUAGUGAUCUUCUUGAAAUAACCCAUAUGACGAUGGGUCAGGGUAAUGUAAGAAUUUCACUUCUUGAACAUUUUUAUUUUAAUAUUAAAACAAUGAAUGAAGAAUUUUAAAGUGAUAGAAUUAUGUUGUUGCUGUAAAUGGCAACUCUGGGAGAUUAUAUGUCAAUCAUGACAAAAUUCCCUGAGUACUCUCUUGUUUGUGUAUUUCCUGGGAAUCGAAUUGAAGGUUUCAGUAAGUAAUUCUAAAUUUGGGUUCUUGAUUCUUGUGAGGAGUUGGGUUUAAUACAGGAAAAGGUGUCGAUAGGCCCUGUGAGAUAAAUGAGUUGCGUUUCCGUGAUAGAGACAUCAUUCAGAUGUUACUGAAGGCAGUUGAGGAGAGAGCUGACAAGAAUCGUCGUAAGGUGUUUUAUGUAGAAGUAGAUAUGAUUUCCGACAACCAAAAAUACGUCGAAUUGCACAAACAAAUGGGGUAUGCUAGCCGUAAGGAAUAUUUUGAUAUCAUCGAGGGGGAGAUGGUAAAUAAGACAAUAAACACUUGUCAGGUGGAGACUUGCAUCUCUAAACAGAAUUACAGCAGAAGCUACAACAAAUGGUGGCAUCUAAAACUGGAUCUCAAUGCCUUGUUUUUCUAGUGGUUCAAAAGAGAUUUGUGUCAAUAAUACGCAUACGCGUUUAAAUACUGACAGUGGAGACAAUAAACACAAUAAAUAGUAUGUCACGGCGAUAGCUAGGUCUUACAUUGCACGGAUUCAUCCCGUAUACAUCAGUUAUGGAGUUGUUGCAGAAGAUGCAGUGAUAAGUAAUCUGCCAUUGUGUGUGUGCUUGUGACAGAUGAAGCUUAAUAGAAUUUAGAGGGUGAUCUUACAGUACACAAACAAUGUCAACAAAGCUAAAUGUUUAUUGAAACUAUAAAAGCUGAAACUUUUGUGUGUUAAAUAAAGGUUUCUUACA